UAUCUCUGCAAACAUUAAGUUGUUUUUGAGAUUUCCUUCUUCAGAACUGCAACAUUUUUUUUUACGAUGUUGCGCAAAGAAUUUUUCAGAGUUUCAAAUUUGUCAGUGUUCUCCCACUGUAUUUAGUUUGUUUUCCAGGUUUGAAACCUUGUAAAUGGUGAUCCGAAAACUGGUGUGCGAAUGUGUGAAAAAAAGUUUUGAAACUCUGAAAACAGAGUUUUGCAGGCUUGCAAAAUGGUUAAAAAAAAAUCUCUGCAAACAUAAUUUUGUUUUUGAGUUUUCCUUCUUCAGAAGUGCAACAAUCUUUUUUAAAAAAAGUUUUGAAACUCUGAAAACAGAGUUUUGCAGGCCUUGCAAAAAUGGUUAAAAAAAAAUCUCUGCAAACAUAAUUUUGUUUUUGAGUUUUCCUUCUUCAGAAGUGCAACAAUCUUUUUUACAGUGUUGUGCAAUCAUUUUUUCAGAGUUUCGAAUUUGUCACUGUUCUCCCAGUGUGUAGUUUGUUUUCCAGAUUUGAAACCUUGUAAAUAGUGAUCUGAAAACUGGUGUGCGAAUAGGUGAAAAAAAGUUUUGAAACUCUGAAAACUGAGGUUCGAAAGGGCGAAACUUAUUACAUUACAUUACAUUUGCACUCCUAUUGCAGACUAUUUUUUCAGAGCCGAGUUUACAACACCCACUUUGCAGAGAUACGCCUACACAGUUGCGAGCUUGCGACUCACGUGAUUUGUGGCAGCGUUGUCACGCAGCUCUGUUCUGAAACUCUGAAACUCAGACUGAGCGAAAAUGAAGCUUCGCAACCUCGCAACUUAAAAAAAAAAGGCUGGGGGGAGGGCCUUCUGCUCUUGGCCAAUGCUUUGCUGUCUGCUGACGUACAGUCCAAUCACAAGUCGUAUUUACUGGAAAGGUGGGAUCGGUCCCGUCUAGAGCUGCAAGAACCGCGUCCAUGGCUGGGAGAGAGGAGGAAUAUACUGCAAUAGCUGAUGCUGCACAGUCGCUAAUAUCAUUGAUUUCGAGAAGACAGCAACAACCCGAAGGCAGUGGUCAAGGAGGAAGAGGGCAACCACCUCGAAGGUUGCAGUCAGAUGGACACAACACCCCAAGUACAUCAGUUGGAACAAGUCAGCUACCGACGAUCCAAAAUGAAAUGCAGAGGUCAUUUCCAGGUUAUUUUCGUCGUGAAAUGAUUCGCUCCAAGAAACGCCCUGCUGCUCUAUCCAAAAUAUCUCCAGCGAUAGCCAUAAAAUAUGUCAGGCUUCAGUUUUUGUUGCUGUCUAGUCCGACUGAUCGCACACCAAAGCCAUCUGAAGAAAUCAAACUCCUCGAGGCAGGCUUGGGGAAAAGAACCAUGACAGUGGCUGAUAACUCUUGCCAUGAGGAGAUUGUCUGUCAACUUGAAGAGCAGUACCCCAAGUUGAAGCAGUUGUCCGGAGGCUGGCUAUGUUAUAAAUCAACAGGUCAGUUAUAG
rnacentral:lncRNA from 1 species